GCAGAGGUGGCCCAGGGGAUAGAGGAAGAGGGGGACUACUCACAUCCCCAUCCAUACGGCAAUGCACGGGGAGGCUAUUGAUGACUGGAAUUCCCACACAUGCCAACUGUUUUAUCUCGCAUAUUUCACACAUCAAUUUACUGAAGGUACUUUGUUACCUUUGCUGCAUUUGACUAAACAUUUCUUAGCCCAGUUGAAUGAUCUGAUAAGAACGAUAACUUGAUAAUGUUUUAAAUCCUAGCAUUGAGCUAUUAAAAAAAAAAUAACCCACCAUUGUAUCUGUAUGAAAUGGCUAUAAAACUUAAGUUCUUUGAUGUCAAGGGAGACAAAUUAAAAGAAAAAUGUGUUGUAAACCUGUGUAUAUAAAAAAUAAAUAAAAAGAUAUUGUGUUCACUGUCAGAUCUUGUUAGUAUAGUACAUGUAAAUAAAAGGAAAAAAAUACACCAA
rnacentral:misc_RNA from 1 species